rnacentral:lncRNA from 1 species
CUCACUGGGGGAUAAAUUCCUCCAGUUGUUUGAAGUCUGAACCUCCUUAACGGCGUGAGGCGAAUCCUAGCCUUGGUCUGUUCAGUCGACGACCGUCGGCGACGAAACAAAGCCUGAAAGCUUCAAGCUUUCCGGCGGGUUUUCGGCAGUUUCAGGCGACUGCAUGCGGCUUUGUAUUGCUUUAUUCGACUUUGUCUUCCCAUCAGCAACUGGCUUAGGAUUAGCAUCAGGUUUAGAAGUCCGAGGUGGACUCGGCACCGGAGAUUCGUCGUCGUUCUUCUCCACAAUAUCUAACGAAUAUUGUUUAAGGAACCUACCCAAGCGUUAAGCCUA